rnacentral:lncRNA from 1 species
GUAGCACUAGCUUUAAUAAGCUAAUAAUAAAUACCGAGAAGUAGAGUUAUAUCAAACAUUAAUGAAUAUCGUGCUGCGAGAGAUGGAUACAUUAGACUAUUUCUUAGGUUCACGUUAGCCUCUUAGCUUUUUCACUAUUCAUGAUUAAAAAAUGGAUUUAGCUAGCUUUAAGCUUCACCAGUGAAGACGCUCUAAAAGGCGCUGUAAAAGUGAAGGAUGGCACGUAAUGCAUCUUUUUAGUUUGUUUUAACGAAAGAGCAAUGCGAAUGAUGGCAGCUAGACCAAUUAAUUAAUGACCCGGAGUUUGCAGCUCAAGUCCGCAUAAAAGUGAAGGAGACCAAUGCAUCUUUUUUUAUUUUAUUUUCAACGGAAGAGCAAUGCGAAUGAUGGCAGCUAGACCAAUUAAUUAAUGACUCGGAGUUUGCAGCUCAGGUCUGCAUAAAGUGAAGGAUGGUACCUACUAGACCAAUGCAUCUUUUUCAUUUUUUUUUUAACGAAAGAGCAACGCACCUUCAACUGCCAUGGAAAAGAAAUGGUACAGCCAACCAGUGCUCGUCGCCUCAAACUUAGCGCACAUGUUAGGUGUACAGCCAGCCAAACUUAGGUCUUGUUUAAUUCACCCUAAAAACUAAAAACUUUUCAAGAUUUUUCAUCAUAUCGAAUCUUGCGGCACAUGCAUAAAGCAUUAAAUAUAGACGAAAACAAAAACUAAUUCUACAGUUUGUUUGUAAAAUCACGAGAUGAAUCUUUUAAUUCUAGUUAGUUCAUUAUUGAACAAUAUUUGUCAAAUAAAAACAAAAAUGCUACAGUACCUCAACCCAAAAAAAAUUUGGGAACUAAACAAGGCCUUAGUAUGCAUAUGAAGCAUUAAAUAUAAAUAAAAAAUUAAUUGUACAUA